rnacentral:lncRNA from 1 species
AUGUCUCUGUGUCACUGCUGGGGUGCCAUCAAGGUGGCUGGCUCCCUCUCCUCAGCAGCUGGGCAGAGUGGGGGUGUUCAGCCUCAGCUCCCUCAGGGUGGUCUGUUCCACAUGGUGAGGGCUGGCUCCCCACUUCUGCUGCAGCUGAGAGGUCAAGGUGGCAGCUGCAGACCAGUCCACAGCAGGCUCCACCAAGGAGCCUUGGGCACCCUCCAAUUUCCAGGGGGCCCUGUCUGCCUCGUUGACAAAGAGCCAGCCAUAGGCAGGGAAAUAAUCAAGGCUCAGCUUGUCCUGCAGGAAGGACAGCUGAGUCUGGGGGCUCUUCUCCAACCUGGCCUAGAGAUGUGGCCUCUCCAAAGCCUCUCCAGCUGUCUCCAGGCCUGGAGAACAUCACCAACCGUCAAUCUCCUGAUGCUGGCCUUCCCAAGACUUCCUAAGCCCACACUGGGCAGUGAAUGGAGUGCCUGUAAAGAAAUGUCAACAUUAAGUCAGCAAGGACUUCACACAAGGUCAGUGUCAGGCUUCACAAUGGUGAGGAUCUCAGAGCUCCCCUGUGAUUUCCUGACGCCACAGAGGAUACUCCCCAAAUGUUUCCAUAGUGUACCAGAACCUCAGUCUUCUCUUAUUUGUCAGAGGAAAUUCUCUCAAACAAAUGCAGCCCACAACCCCCCUAUAGGGGUGAGCAUGAAGUCAAUGAAUAAUGGUGGGAGCAAGAGGAGGAAGCGGCUUGGAGACCUGCCUUCCCCACACUGGAGCUGGCCCAAGGCUCUUCAGUUUUCUGAGCCUCACAGUGCCCACCUGAGCAGUGCCCUCCCACCCUUCCAUGGAUGCAGGGAGGCACCAAAUGCCAUGUGGUAUAGGAAGUACAAAAACAUUCCAGACUCCCUGGCAGAGCCUCUGCACUGCAGGGCCUGUGAGGUCCCCAGGCAGCUGUGGAGCCCCACUUCUCCUUCACUGCUUCCUUCAGAUUGCCCUUCUGAUAAUAAAUCCUAUUUACAGAGGGUUCUUCUGUAA